UACGAAGGGGGCUAGCGUUGUUCGGAAUUACUGGGCGUAAAGCGCGCGCAGGCGGUCCUUUAAGUCGGGGGUGAAAGCCCAGAGCUCAACUCUGGAACUGCCUUCGAAACUAGAGGACUUGGGUACGGGAGAGGUGAGUGGAAUUCCGAGUGUAGAGGUGAAAUUCGUAGAUAUUGGGAAGAACACCAGUGGCGAAGGCGGCUCACUGGCCCGUAACUGACGCUGAGGUGCGAAAGCGUGGGGAGCAAACAGG
rnacentral:rRNA from 1 species